ACGCACGCUGGCGGCGUGCUUCACACCUGCCAGUCGCACGGAAAGGCCCUGCUUGCAGGGUACUCGAGUGGCGAACGGGUGAGUAACACGUGGGUGAUCUGCCCUGCACUUCGGGAUAAGCCUGGGAAACUGGGUCUAAUACCGGAUAGGAGCCAUUUUUAGUGUGAUGGUUGGAAAGUUUUUUCGGUGUAGGAUGAGCUCGCGGCCUAUCAGCUUGUUGGUGGGGUAAUGGCCUACCAAGGCGGCGACGGGUAGCCGGCCUGAGAGGGUGGACGGCCACAUUGGGACUGAGAUACGGCCCAGACUCCUACGGGAGGCAGCAGUGGGGAAUAUUGCACAAUGGGCGCAAGCCUGAUGCAGCGACGCCGCGGGGGGGAUGACGGCCUUCGGGUUGUAAACUCCUUUCGCUAGGGACGAAGCUUUUUGUGACGGUACCUAGAUAAGAAGCACCGGCUAACUACGUG
rnacentral:rRNA from 1 species